rnacentral:rRNA from 1 species
AUGCUACCGGGCGACCGGAUGCGGAUCUCGAAAGCCUGUCCCAGUUCGGAUUGUAGUCUGCAACCCGACUACAUGAAGCUGGAAUCGCUAGUAAUCGCGGAUCAGAAUGCCGCGGUGAAUACGUUCCCGGGUCUUGUACACACCGCCCGUCACACCAUGGGAGUCGGAAAUGCCCGAAGUCUGUGACCCAACCAUUAAGGAGGGAGCAGCCGAAGGCAGGUCGGAUGACUGGGGUGAAGUCGUAACAAGGUACC